UUGCUUCUCUUGAGAGCGGCGGACGGGUGAGUAAUGCCUAGGAAUCUGCCUGGUAGUGGGGGAUAACGUUCGGAAACGGACGCUAAUACCGCAUACGUCCUACGGGAGAAAGCAGGGGACCUUCGGGCCUUGCGCUAUCAGAUGAGCCUAGGUCGGAUUAGCUAGUUGGUGGGGUAAUGGCUCACCAAGGCUACGAUCCGUAACUGGUCUGAGAGGAUGAUCAGUCACACUGGAACUGAGACACGGUCCAGACUCCUACGGGAGGCAGCAGUGGGGAAUAUUGGACAAUGGGCGAAAGCCUGAUCCAGCCAUGCCGCGUGUGUGAAGAAGGUCUUCGGAUUGUAAAGCACUUUAAGUUGGGAGGAAGGGUUGUAGAUUAAUACUCUGCAAUUUUGACGUUACCGACAGAAUAAGCACCGGCUAACUCUGUGCCAGCAGCCGCGGUAAUACAGAGGGUGCAAGCGUUAAUCGGAAUUACUGGGCGUAAAGCGCGCGUAGGUGGUUUGUUAAGUUGGAUGUGAAAUCCCCGGGCUCAACCUGGGAACUGCAUUCAAAACUGACUGACUAGAGUAUGGUAGAGGGUGGUGGAAUUUCCUGUGUAGCGGUGAAAUGCGUAGAUAUAGGAAGGAACACCAGUGGCGAAGGCGACCACCUGGACUAAUACUGACACUGAGGUGCGAAAGCGUGGGGAGCAAACAGGAUUAGAUACCCUGG
rnacentral:rRNA from 1 species